rnacentral:rRNA from 1 species
CAUUCACGGAGAGUUUGAUCCUGGCUCAGGACGAACGCUGGCGGCGUGCUUAACACAUGCAAGUCGAACGAUGAAGCCCUUCGGGGUGGAUUAGUGGCGAACGGGUGAGUAACACGUGGGCAAUCUGCCCUGCACUCUGGGACAAGCCCUGGAAACGGGGUCUAAUACCGGAUAUGACCGUCCAUCGCAUGGUGGAUGGUGUAAAGCUCCGGCGGUGCAGGAUGAGCCCGCGGCCUAUCAGCUAGUUGGUGAGGUAGUGGCUCACCAAGGCGACGACGGGUAGCCGGCCUGAGAGGGCGACCGGCCACACUGGGACUG